CAUACCUACAAUCUGAAUGACUUUAUUGUGCCUGUGUAUUUGUUGCUACCACAACAUUGACUGUGCCUAGAUUUCAUUCCCUGUGUAUUUAAGUGUCUUAUUGGACUGCUUUUGAUAUUUGACUGUUGUAGUAUCUUUGCUACCAUGCGUGCUAGUUUUUCAAGUUGACAAGUAACUGUAUUGCAAAAGAAUAUGGUACUUAUGCACCUAUGGAGAAAGGGAAGAAGCAUACUUUUUUUGGCUCUGGUAUGUGCAGCUCCCAUUUUAGAUUUUACCAAGUAUCAAAUGUACACU
rnacentral:lncRNA from 7 species